GCAGGCUGGUGGAAAAGCUCUGACCAACAAGGCCAUAUCCCUCCCCCCCCCCACCUAAAACCCCAAAUAGAAACCCUUACUUUUAGCUUUUUGGGGAGUGUGGCAUUUCAGCGUUAGCAGCCCUUUCUCUUGUCUCAGAGCUCUGCCGUAACAAAGUCCUACUUUCUUCCACAGCACCUGGUGUCAGAGGUUGGCAUGCUGCACCACAGGACACAACUGGAAACACGGGUUAUAAUACCGAGGCUUUGACUGGAACAUCACAUUUGAGAAAGACGUACAGGCUCAGAUGUGACAAGACAGCUUCUGAGGAAUGAAGGUGGACUGUCUGGAAGAAAGCCACUUGGAAAUAUUGGCCUGGUACCUUGCUUAUGGCUUCCCAGUAACCUGUUUGCCAGGAAAGCCGCUGUCUCAAGAGUAUCAAGGAGCGGAGGCUCCCCAGACCUCAACUCCUCGACUCCGACUCCCGGCGCUCGAACCCGCCUCAAACAAGAAGACGAGACACCGGCGAAGGACGCCCACCUGCCAUCCUCCUAUCUCACCCUCCCCCCUGCCUUGCUGCAAGCAGCCUCUCAAGGCCAAACGCAGGCUGGUGGGAAAGCACCGAGCUGCACAAGCUACAUGUUCCC